rnacentral:misc_RNA from 1 species
AACGCACCUUGCGCUCCUUGGUAUUCCUUGGAGCAUGCCUGUUUGAGUAUCAUGAGCAAAUCUCAAAGUCGAUCCUUUUGUUAAUUCAAUUGGUUUUGCUUUGGACUUGGAGGUCUUGCAGAUUUCACCAUCUGCUCCUCUUAAAUGUAUUAGCUGGAUCUCAGUAUUAUGCUUGGUUCCACUCGGCGUGAUAAGUAUCACUCGCUGAGGACACUGGUUAAAAAGGUGGCCAGGAAAAUACUGAUUGAACCGCUUCUAACGGUCUAUUAACUUAGACAAUUACCCCUUAAGUUUGAUCUCAAAUCAGGUAGGACUACCCGCUGAACUUAA